AGUUUUGCAGACGAGGAGUAACCGUUGCCCUGGACCACAAAGCCACUUAGCGGCAGAGCCUUGCACCCGCGAAGAUUAUUACUAGGGAGAUGUUUUUACCCCUGAGGACACCUGAGCCCUUAAGUGGGGCAGGCUUCGAGGGAGGGGGGCCGAUAAGGCGACUUCAGACAGGGCAAUCACGAUGGGCGCUUGACUUCUGCGCAGAAUUUUGACAAGGGGGAGGGUCUUGGCUUGAAGACAGAGCGUGGAGUCAUUUAAGGAUAAUGGAAGGGCAUAAGCGGAAGCUCAAGGAUAAAAAGCACUGAAAUUCUUGAGCUGGCGGCAGGGCUGAACGUAGCUCAGUGAAAGAUCCUUUCUUGCCACAUCCUCUCUAAGCCAGGCUGUGAGAACCGCGGGAAACGAAGGAGAAGGGUGGCGGUGGGGUCAGUAAAGGGCCGGCCCAGGGUGCAUCUUUUAGGUCCUGAUGCUAGGAGCAGCCGUCCCCGCCCCUAUAUUCCUCUCACUGGGUAGGUUUGCUCGGGAGUGGCUAUCUCCCAGGCAAAAAUUCGGCCUGGUUAAACUGGAAAGACCAGGAAAGCCCGCCCACCGGCGUCCGGGGAACGCCUGCAAAGUGCCAGCACCCUACCAACCCAGGCGCCGCACGGGUGGGGUCGCGGCCGCAGGCUCUUCCGGGGCGGGCCUAGCCUGACGCAGGAGGAGGGGCGGUCCCCGUCGCACACGAACCAAUCACGACUGUCGCUUCUACGUGGCUAGCAUUGACCAAUAGGAGACCGUAGUGAUAGCGACGGGGAAAUUCAAACGUGUUUGCGGAAAGGAGUUUGGGUUCCAUCUUUUCAUUUCCCCAGCGCAGCUUUCUGUAGAAAUGGAGUCCGAGGAUUUAAGUGGCAGAGAAUUGACAAUUGAUUCCAUAAUGAACAAAGUGAGAGACAUUAAAAAUAAGUUUAAAAAUGAAGACCUUACUGAUGAACUAAGCUUGAAUAAAAUUUCUGCUGAUACUACAGAUAACUCGGGAACUGUUAACCAAAUUAUGAUGAUGGCAAACAACCCAGAGGACUGGUUGAAUUUGUUGCUCAAACUAGAGAAAAACAGUGUUCCGCUAAGUGAUGCUCUUUUAAAUAAAUUGAUUGGUCGUUACAGUCAAGCAAUUGAAGCGCUUCCCCCAGAUAAAUAUGGCCAAAAUGAGAGUUUUGCUAGAAUUCAAGUGAGAUUUGCUGAAUUAAAAGCUAUUCAAGAGCCAGAUGAUGCACGUGACUACUUUCAAAUGGCCAGAGCAAACUGCAAGAAAUUUGCUUUUGUUCAUAUAUCUUUUGCACAAUUUGAACUGUCACAAGGUAAUGUCAAAAAAAGUAAACAACUUCUUCAAAAAGCUGUAGAACGUGGAGCAGUACCACUAGAAAUGCUGGAAAUUGCCCUGCGGAAUUUAAACCUCCAAAAAAAGCAGCUGCUUUCAGAGGAGGAAAAGAAGAAUUUAUCAGCAUCUACGGUAUUAACUGCCCAAGAAUCAUUUUCCGGUUCACUUGGGCAUUUACAGAAUAGGAACAACAGUUGUGAUUCCAGAGGACAGACUACUAAAGCCAGGUUUUUAUAUGGAGAGAACCUGCCACCACAAGAUGCAGAAAUAGGUUAUCGGAAUUCAUUGAGACAAACUAACAAAACUAAACAGUCAUGCCCAUUUGGAAGAGUCCCAGUUAACCUUCUAAAUAGCCCAGAUUGUGAUGUGAAGACAGAUGAUUCAGUUGUACCUUGUUUUAUGAAAAGACAAACCUCUAGAUCAGAAUGCCGAGAUUUGGUUGUGCCCGGAUCUAAACCAAGUGGAAAUGAUUCCUGUGAAUUAAGAAAUUUAAAGUCUGUUCAAAAUAGUCAUUUCAAGGAACCUCUGGUGUCAGAUGAAAAGAGUUCUGAACUUAUUAUUACUGAUUCAAUAACCCUGAAGAAUAAAACGGAAUCAAGUCUUCUAGCUAAAUUAGAAGAAACUAAAGAGUAUCAAGAACCAGAGGUUCCAGAGAGUAACCAGAAACAGUGGCAAUCUAAGAGAAAGUCAGAGUGUAUUAACCAGAAUCCUGCUGCAUCUUCAAAUCACUGGCAGAUUCCGGAGUUAGCCCGAAAAGUUAAUACAGAGCAGAAACAUACCACUUUUGAGCAACCUGUCUUUUCAGUUUCAAAACAGUCACCACCAAUAUCAACAUCUAAAUGGUUUGACCCAAAAUCUUUUUGUAAGACACCAAGCAGCAAUACCUUGGAUGAUUACAUGAGCUGUUUUAGAACUCCAGUUGUAAAGAAUGACUUUCCACCUGCUUGUCAGUUGUCAACACCUUAUGGCCAACCUGCCUGUUUCCAGCAGCAACAGCAGCAAAUACUUGCCACUCCACUUCAAAAUUUACAGGUUUUAGCAUCUUCUUCAGCAAACGAAUGCAUUUCGGUUAAAGGAAGAAUUUAUUCCAUAUUAAAGCAGAUAGGAAGUGGAGGUUCAAGCAAGGUAUUUCAGGUGUUGAAUGAAAAGAAACAGAUAUAUGCCAUAAAAUAUGUGAACUUAGAAGAAGCAGAUAACCAAACUCUUGAUAGUUACCGGAACGAAAUAGCUUAUUUGAAUAAACUACAACAACACAGUGAUAAGAUCAUCCGACUUUAUGAUUAUGAAAUCACGGACCAGCACAUCUACAUGGUAAUGGAGUGUGGAAAUAUUGAUCUUAAUAGUUGGCUUAAAAAGAAAAAAUCCAUUGAUCCAUGGGAACGCAAGAGUUACUGGAAAAAUAUGUUAGAGGCAGUUCACACAAUCCAUCAACAUGGCAUUGUUCACAGUGAUCUUAAACCAGCUAACUUUCUGAUAGUUGAUGGAAUGCUAAAGCUAAUUGAUUUUGGGAUUGCAAACCAAAUGCAACCAGAUACAACAAGUAUUGUUAAAGAUUCUCAGGUUGGCACAGUUAAUUAUAUGCCACCAGAAGCAAUCAAAGAUAUGUCUUCCUCCAGAGAGAACGGGAAAUCUAAGUCAAAGAUAAGCCCCAAAAGUGAUGUUUGGUCCUUAGGAUGUAUUUUGUACUAUAUGACUUACGGGAAGACACCAUUUCAGCAGAUAAUUAAUCAGAUUUCUAAAUUGCAUGCCAUAAUUGAUCCUAAUCAUGAAAUUGAAUUUCCUGAUAUUCCAGAGAAAGAUCUUCAAGAUGUGUUAAAGUGUUGUUUAAAAAGGGACCCAAAACAGAGGAUAUCCAUUCCUGAGCUCCUGGCUCAUCCAUAUGUUCAAAUUCAAACUCAUCCAGGUAACCAAAUGGCCAAGGGAACCACUGAAGAAAUGAAAUAUGUUCUGGGCCAACUUGUUGGUCUGAAUUCUCCUAACUCCAUUUUGAAAGCUGCUAAAGAUUAUCUGAGUUGGUUGUUUUUUAUGUUGGAGCUGGCGCAGCUGGUCUGCUGAUCCAGGAUGGCCUCACUCACGAGUGGAACUUCAGCAGGAAUAACUGAGAUGACUGGGAUCAUCAGGGUCUUGGUAUAGAUAGGGUUCUCUGGAAGCAGAUUCUGGGAUGGAAUUUGAGGUGCAAGAUGUUUAUUAGGAACCAAUACCUGUGAAAGAAAAGGAGAAAAAGGAUUGUUGCAGAGGGAGAAGUUGAACUGUGAUGCAGGCUUCACGAAGACUUGGCACACUUUGUAGGGAGCUCUGGAGUGAACAUUGCCCAUGUGUGGUGUCCAUUGUCAGGCUGAAAUGGCCAGUCUUUAUACACACACCUCAUUCACAAGGGUGUGACCUCUGCUGCUGAGGUGGACCCUGAGGAACUGACAGCUGAAGACUGCUGACCACAUUUCCUACAGCUGGACAACCAGACCUUCUUCGAAGGGAAAUUGGGCAACAAAUCUCCAUGUCUACCACAGCCCUCUCUCCAGGAGGUUAACCCUGACUCGUUGUUCCUAUGGUGGCAGAAGGGUUUGUAGCAUAAAGAUAGGGCAAGCAUAAUGUGCAAGUACAUUCCAAACAUCUACUAACCUUUUAUUUGCUAAUGUCUCAUUGGCCAAAGCAAGUCAGAUAGUCAAUAUCAGAUUCAAAGCUUGGACAGACAGACUUCACCUCUUAAUGGGAGAAGUGACAGUCAUAUUGUAAAGGAGUGUGCCUACAUGGACAGGAAGAAUUUGCUUUGGUAUCAGGAUGAUGCUGGCCUCAUAAAAUGAGUUACAAAGGAUUCCCUCUUUUUCUAUUGAUUGGAAUAGUUUCAGAAGGAAUGGUACCAGCUCCUCCUUGUACCUCUGGUAGAAUUUGGCUGUGAAUCCAUCUGGUCCUGGACUUUUUUUGUUGGUUGCUGCUCUCCCGGAUCGUCUUGAUCCAAGCUAACAUAUCAUCUAUGUCUUCAGCCUGAAACAGGCAUUCACAGUCAGACAUGACGGAGUCGUCUGCUCUCUUUUAUCUUUGUACAGGUAAAGUGAAUGACCCCGAAGGACAACAUACAUCUGUUUCCAUGGCUGAAUACUUCCACCAACUCGCUUGCCCUUAUCGGUGACAAGGGGUCGGAAAUGGAGCCACCCUUCCUUGGCAGCAUCACUGAAGACCUCUGAGGAAGAAUCUUUUCUGGACCCAGAGUCUUCUGAUGACUUUUGGCUGUCUGCGAUCUUGAUUCCCUUCAGACUAGAUACGUGCUUAAAGGACAAUUUUGCAUCUUCUCUGUAAUCAUCCAGACCCUCAUCAUAUGAUUUUGAUCUUUCUGUCUUUGAGUUGGGCUGAGCAUCCAGGCUAGGAGGGCCAACAGAUUCGUGGUCAUGUGAGAGCUGACGGCGAAUUAAUGGAGCUGAAGUUGUGAGGCUAGGAGGAACUGUUGCUAUGGAGGGGACCUGAAAGUUAGAGGCUGAUAGAACAGCAGAAGCAAGGAUAUGUGCAAUAUCAUGAUCAAUGCUAGGGCUAGUUGGUUCAUCUAUAAAUGGUAUGGAAGUCAAAGAAUCGCCAGGCGGACUGGUACUCGAGGCUUUUCUUUCCUCCAUUCUUUUUAUGUGGACCUCUCGACGUGCAUCAUUGGGCAGCCAGCAGGUAGUGUCUGACCAGGUCUCCUGGUCGUUUACUGCCAAGAUGUAAGACUGAUGCCUUAAAGGCUGCGGUGUCUGGCGUCCAGAUGGAGGUUUUUCCCUUAGGAUGACAGCUUCUUUAUUAUCUAAAGUAUCUGAUUGCUCAAUUUCAGCCUCUUGUAAACUUAAGUCUUGAUUCCUUUGACUGACAGGUAGUUCUAAAUCUGAAGUACCAGCGUUUUCACUCGACUGAGGGGCAGGUUUGGCAGAGGCUCCAGAUAAAGAGGGGGAUUUCCCAGUCUCCACUUGCUGAUUGGGGGCACUGUCAGUCCUUACCCAUGUCUGCUGAUUCAACAGACUGUUCUGAUGCAAGUGAUUUACUGGUCUUUGGUCUUUGAUAGAAACAAAUGAUUUCUGGCUAAAUGAUGGUUUUGUGACAUGCGUGGAAGGAGCUUUCAGAGAAUUACUUCGGACUUUCACAAGAGGUGACCUGUCUUGUGAAAUACACUGAGGCAGUGACAUUCCACAAGUAGUCUGAAAAUUUCUGUUUGACUGCAGUGUUUUUAGAUCUGGUGGAAUUUUUUUAAACUGCGACACAGAUCCCACUCCUCUACCACUCAUUCGCCUGUUAUCAGAAUUAACAAAGCUUGGAGCCACAGCAAAAUUGGAACCUCGAAAAGAUUUAUGAAUUUCUUGCUGCCUAGGUCUUUCAUAAAUACCUCGUCUAUCAUCCUGUUCAGUAAACCCACUCCACUUGUAAGUCUGUUUUAUCUCUCCAUUGGAAUCAGGUAUUGGAGUUCCAGAAUUGACAUUUUCUAAGGUUUCAUCCUGUUCCUCAAUAUAAUCCCAUGAACGAGUUCUAUGAUUACUAAAACUAACAGAUGGAGACAUCAGUGCUCCUUGAGAUGCACUUCUUGGACAAUACUUCAUUAGCACAGAAUCUUCCAGUCUUUCUUGGGACACACUGCGUUGCCGUAUCUGGACAGACUGGGGCACUCGAUCAUGAGAGGUGCUUCGAUGUUGUCCCUGCAAAGUAGUGCGGUUGGGGACGACCUGGUUAUAAUCCAUCGUGCUUUGAGAUGCUGCUCUUAAACUAUCUAAUCUUUCUUGUAUUGUCUGACAACCUAUGUGCAAUCAUCUGUUAUCAAUAUACUCUUUGUAAGUUUUAUAGUUUUUCCAGUCUAUGUGCUGAUGGGAAUUUGGCGAAUAGUGAUUAACAGAUACAGAGGAAGCCUCCACAGCUUGAGAUCUGCUGCUUGAGAUUCCAUCAGAAUGUCCACUGUAAUUUCCAGAUUUAAGUAAAAUUCCAGAAGGUUCCAAUGAUCUGGAGCCUGCAGGCUGAUGAAUUAGAUGAGUGGUGGGAAUUGAUAAUGGUGGUGAUGUGGUUCUGGACACUGUUUUUAAAGAGGUCUGCUCAUUCACGCCAUACCUCACUUCUUCAGUUCUAUGUGAAGGACGUGUAUGGUUGUUUCUAUUGGAUAACAAAUCUACAACCUUCUCAGAAGGCACAAUGACAGUCCUUACACUUUCAUUGCAAACACACACUGCUGUGUUUGAUUUUGCAACAUCUGUUGGUGAUGGAGGCACUUGUAUUUCCAUUCUAUAGACCCUACCAGGUUGUGUCAGUACUGGUGUACUGGUUUGCUGUUUGCUCAAUGAUGAGUCAGGAGGAGAUAUUUCAACUGGCUGUGCCAUGGCUGAUGGGGCAGAUGACAGCCAGGGAUAGCAGAUUGGUGGAGGUUCAGGUAUAUUGCGGGCAUUGCCACUAUAAGCUUCGUUGCCUUUCAGGUAGGCAUCUUGAGAAUAUGCCACUUGGAGAAUGUCUUCAUAUUUUGGCAUAACACUAAGCUCAAAUGUUGUAUCACUGUUUUGAAUUAAAGCAAUUACUUGGGAAUAGGUUUUGCCAAUAACACUUUCUCCAUUGACUUUUAUAAUUUGGUCACCUGUACAUAAUCCAGCUUCAAAAGCAGGUCCUCCUUCUUUAACUUGCUUAACAAAAUGGUAUCCAUUGGGUCCAAGUGGUUUCUUUGUUUUCCUUGAGGCGUUUCCUGUUUCCAAAGUAAUGGCUGAGAGACUGACCAGCUGCACAGAGCUUCCAUCAAUCUCAAAAGGCUCCUCUGUUUCCAUUUUCUUCAUCCUUAUAUGAAAAUUGAAUUGCAGACUCUGGGGGAUAAAAAAUAAAAUGUCUUAAUGU